AGCUUUGCACAGUGGCAGUAUUGUAGGCAAUGAGGUUUAUCUGAGGUUCAAUUAUUGCUAAUUGAAACAUUUCCCAGUACCCCACCAUGACGAUUUGAAAUAUAGUUGGCAAAAUUUAAAAUAAAAGCUU
rnacentral:snRNA from 1 species